rnacentral:lncRNA from 1 species
AUGGUGUUCAUGGUCGUUUCCUGUAACUUUCAAAAGAGUGAAAACAGAAAUCAAUUCUGAUUCUGCUAUUGACUAGCUGUGUGAUCUCAGGAAAUGAAAGCCCAGGGAUGAGAUGAUUUUUAAGAGUUGAACUGAGCUGCAAGCAUGUGGACCAUGUAAGUGUUAACAGAGGCAGACAGAGAAGAGAGACCUGCCAUGAAGUGCUAUGGUGGGAGUUGUGUCAGUUCGGGAGUGGAGGAGUCCCAGGUGGCCCCAGAAGAAGAAGCCUCUGAACAAAGAAGACAAUGCUUGGGUUAUGGUGGAGGGGACAUGGAAGGUUAUGGGUUCUUCUGGAGUCUUCUGAACCUGCCGGGCAUUUCUGACUAG